GUGACAGCCUUGUGUAUUUUGUAAGUUUUAAGUAAUUUAUAAGUGCGUGGGGGAGGCGACACUUACAAGGCACUUAGAAGGAAGGUUCCUCUCACUUUUGGGCGUGGUAGCGGAGAGAGGAGAGGAGAAAUAGAGAUAAAUCUUUAAACCAAUUCUUAUUUCAAUACAAAUACACCAUUCAACACCACAAAAACACCAUUAUUUUGCCUUCAACACCACAAAAGCACCAUUAUACUGCCUUCAACACCACAAAACACCAUUAUUUUGCCU